rnacentral:rRNA from 1 species
GCAGCGGAAGCUCAGUAACACGUGGCCAAACUACCCUGUGGAUGGGAACAAUCUCGGGAAACUGAGGCUAAUUCCCAAUAACGCUCCACCCCUGGAACGGGCGGAGCUGGAAACGCUACGGCGCCACAGGAUGUGGCUGCGGUCGAUUAGGUAGACGGUGGGGUAACGGCCCACCGUGCCAAUAAUCGGUACGGGUUGUGAGAGCAAGAGCCCGGAGACGGAAUCUGAGACAAGAUUCCGGGCCCUACGGGGCGCAGCAGGCGCGAAACCUUUACACUGUACGCAAGUGCGAUAAGGGGACUCCGAGUGUGAAGGCAUAGAGCCUUCACUUUUGUACACCGUAAGGUGGUGUACGAAUAAGGGCUGGGCAAGACCGGUGCCAGCCGCCGCGGUAAUACCGGCAGCCCGAGUGAUGGCCGAUAUUAUUGGGCCUAAAGCGUCCGUAGCUGGCCGGACAAGUCCGUUGGGAAAUCUGUUCGCUUAACGAGCAGGCGUCCAGCGGAAACUGUUCGGCUUGGGACCGGAAGACCUGAGGGGUACGUCCGGGGUAGGAGUGAAAUCCUGUAAUCCUGGACGGACCACCGGUGGCGAAAGCGCCUCAGGAGGACGGAUCCGACAGUGAGGGACGAAAGCUAGGGUCUCGAACCGGAUUAGAUACCCGGGUAGUCCUAGCUGUAAACGAUGCCCGCUAGGUGUGGCGCAGGCUACGAGCCUGCGCUGUGCCGUAGGGAAGCCGAGAAGCGGGCCGCCUGGGAAGUACGUCUGCAAGGAUGAAACUUAAAGGAAUUGGCGGGGGAGCACUACAACCGGAGGAGCCUGCGGUUUAAUUGGACUCAACGCCGGA